GUCUAGUGUCAUACCACCUGAGUGCUCCCAAUGUCAUCCGAGCUUAGAAGCUAAGCAUGGUUGGGUCAGCAUAGUACUUGGAUAGGAGACAAACUUACAGGUU
rnacentral:rRNA from 1 species